UAGCCUAAUGGUUAAGGCUAUGGAUCGCCAAUCCGGAGACGGCGGGUUCGAUUCCCGU
rfam:Aedes albopictus isolate Foshan contig136849, whole genome shotgun sequence.